rnacentral:rRNA from 1 species
UACGAAGGGGGCUAGCGUUGCUCGGAAUUACUGGGCGUAAAGCGCACGUAGGCGGCUCUUUAAGUCGGGGGUGAAAUCCUGGAGGCUCAACUCCAGAACUGCCUUCGAUACUGUAGAGCUUGAGUUCGGGAGAGGUGAGUGGGAACUGCGAGUGUAGAGGUGAAAUUCGUAGAUAUUCGCAAGAACACCAGUGGCGAAGGCGGCUCACUGGCCCGAUACUGACGCUGAGGUGCGAAAGCGUGGGGAGCAAACAGGG